rnacentral:lncRNA from 1 species
AUGAGCAAGGUGGCAGCGUGCCCCUCUAUUGCCCACUGUGGCUCCUGUGACUUGGAAGUGCGUGGUAGGACUGCAGGAAAGACAGAGCCCGUUUACCAGACGAACACGCUGGAUCCAGAGGUCGCUCCGGGAAAGAAGGCAAGGCUCAAUGCGGACGCUCCCGCACUUCACAAGGUGCUGAUGCUCCUGUCCACAGUGUGGUCCUUCGGUCAUGUAACAGGGAGCAAGGCACUGUGGUGCUCCUCCGUUGCCACAGAGGACAAGAUCAUGCUGCUGAUCAAUGUCUUCAGACAGGCCAACGUGAGAGUGCCCGUCAGGACUUAAAUACCUUCCCAGAGCACGUGUGGGAAUCCUGAGAACAGCUAUUUUCAGCCCCUGAAAGUGUUCCGGAGUGAGUCUCAUGGGACUUAAUUAAAAUAAUGAGUUUUCACAGCCAAGGCUUUUGACUCUAACUUCCCCCAAC